rnacentral:RNase_P_RNA from 1 species
AGAGCGGGUCGGGCGGUCGCCGGCUUGGAAAUGAGCCGGAGGAAAGUCCGAGCAGGGCAGGGCACGGUGGUGGCUAACGGCCACCGGAGGCGACUCCCGGGAAAGUGCCACAGAAAACAUACAGCCGAUGGCCUCGAGGAAUUGGGGCACAGGCAAUGGUGAAAUGGUGCGGCAAGAGCGCACCGCGGCGCCGGUGACGGCGACGGCACGGCAAACCCCACCGCCUGCAAGACCAAGCAGCCGGCCGGAUUGCGCUCUGCGAUUCGUCGCAGAACGGGUGUUCCGCACUCGGCCCGGGUGUGAGCGGCAGGUUGCUGCCGCCGGCCGGCGGGUAGGUCGCUUCCCGAUAAACCGGGAGAGCCGGCCGGCAACGGCCGGUCAAGAUAAAUGAUCGCCGCCCGUCACUACAGACGGGAGACAGAACUCGGCUUACAGACCCGCCCUCUUU